GACGAACGCUGGCGGCGUGCCUAAUACAUGCAAGUCGAGCGCAGGAAGCCGUCUGAACCCUUCGGGGGGACGACGGCGGAAUGAGCGGCGGACGGGUGAGUAACACGUAAAGAACCUGCCCACGGGUCUGGGAUAACCACGAGAAAUCGGGGCUAAUACCGGACGGGUCAUCGGACCGCAUGGUCCGAGGAUGAAAGGCGCUCCGGCGUCGCCCGUGGAUGGCUUUGCGGUGCAUUAGCUAGUUGGUGGGGUAACGGCCCACCAAGGCGACGAUGCAUAGCCGACCUGAGAGGGUGAUCGGCCACACUGGGACUGAGACACGGCCCAGACUCCUACGGGAGGCAGCAGUAGGGAAUCUUCCACAAUGGACGAAAGUCUGAUGGAGCAACGCCGCGUGAACGAUGAAGGCCCUCGGGUCGUAAAGUUCUGUUGUAAGGGAAGAACAAGUGCCGCAGGCAAUGGCGGCACCUUGACGGUACCUUGCGAGAAAGCCACGGCUAACUACGUGCCAGCCGCCGCGGUAAAAC
rnacentral:rRNA from 1 species